ACGGCGAGUGAAGCGGCAACAGCUCAAAUUUGAAAUCUGGCGUCUUUGGCGUCCGAGUUGUAAUUUGCAGAGGGCGCUUUGGCAUUGGCAGCGGUCCAAGUUCCUUGGAACAGGACGUCACAGAGGGUGAGAAUCCCGUACGUGGUCGCUAGCCUUUACCGUGUAAAGCCCCUUCGACGAGUCGAGUUGUUUGGGAAUGCAGCUCUAAAUGGGAGGUAAAUUUCUUCUAAAGCUAAAUACUGGCCAGAGACCGAUAGCGCACAAGUAGAGUGAUCGAAAGAUGAAAAGCACUUUGGAAAGAGAGUUAAAAAGCACGUGAAAUUGUUGAAAGGGAAGCGCUUGCAGCCAGACUUGCCUGUAGUUGCUCAUCCGGGUUUUUACCCGGUGCACUCUUCUAUAGGCAGGCCAGCAUCAGUUUGGGCGGUUGGAUAAAGGUCUCUGUCAUGUACCUCUCUUCGGGGAGAACUUAUAGGGGAGACGACAUGCAACCAGCCUGGACUGAGGUCCGCGCAUCUGCUAGGAUGCUGGCGUAAUGGCUGUAAGCGGCCCGU
rnacentral:rRNA from 1 species